rnacentral:rRNA from 1 species
AUUGAACGCUGGCGGCCGGCCUAACACAUGCAAGUCGAGAGGAGCGGCGGCCGGGUGAGUAAUGCCUAGGAAUCUGCCUGCUAGUGGGGGAGAACGUCCGGAACCGGGCGCUACUACCGCAUACUAGCAGAUGAGCCUAGGUCGGAUUAGCUCGUUGGUGUGGUAAAGGCCUAACAAGGCGACGAUCCGUAACUGGUCUGAGAGGAGGAUCAGUCACACUGGAACGGAGACACGGUCCAGACUCCUACGGGAGGCAGCAGUGGGGAAUAGUGGACAAUGGGCGAAAGCCUGAUCCAGCCAUGCCGCGUGGGUGAAGAAGGUCGUCGGAUUGUAAAGCACUUUAAGUUGGGAGGCGUUACCAACAGAAUAAGCACCGGCUAACUUCGUGCCAGCAGCCGCGGUAAUAC